rnacentral:rRNA from 1 species
GCGACGUUCAACCGCAAAAGAAGCAGAGGGGGCUUAGUGGUGGGGUGACUGCGUACCUUUUGUAUAAUGGGUCAGCGACUUAUAUUCUGUAGCAAGGUUAACCGAAUAGGGGAGCCGGAGGGAAACCGAGUCUUAAUUGGGCGUUAAGUUGCAGGGUAUAGACCCGAAACCCGGUGAUCUAGCCAUGGGCAGGUUGAAGGUUGGGUAACACUAACUGGAGGACCGAACCGACUAAUGUUGAAAAAUUAGCGGAUGACCUGUGGCUGGGGGUGAAAGGCCAAUCAAACCGGGAGAUAGCUGGUUCUCCCCGAAAGCUAUUUAGGUAGCGCCUCGUGAAUUCAUCUCCGGGGGUAGAGCACUGUUUCGGCUAGGGGGCCAUCCCGGCUUACCAACCCGAUGCAAACUGCGAAUACCGGAGAAUGUUAUCACGGGAGACACACGGCGGGUGCUAACGUCCGUCGUGAAGAGGGAAACAACCCAGACCGCCAGCUAAGGUCCCAAAGUCAUGGUUAAGUGGGAAACGAUGUGGGAAGGCCCAGACAGCCAGGAUGUUGGCUUAGAAGCAGCCAUCAUUUAAAGAAAGCGUAAUAGCUCACUGGUCGAGUCGGCCUGCGCGGAAGAUGUAACGGGGCUAAACCAU